ACCCCACCUGGCCAUAGUGACCCGCUCAAGAGUGGGCAAAACUCCUUCCCUGGGCUUUUCUCAACUGGAUCUGGGAGAAAGCUCUUUCCUCUCUGAUGGCAAAGCUGAGAAGAUGUGAGCCCAAAGCCGCCAACAGCCAUAUACCUCACAUGUGGAAGAAGCCAAUCUGCAAUAGGAGAAUGAAGUCAACAUGCAGAGAAAAACAGACAAGAAGACAACAAGAGAAUUUUCAUGUCAGACUCCCGAGCAGUGUACCUGGAACAUAGUCGGUGGGACUCAAUGAAUGUUAGUUGAACGAUUCGAGAAGAAUGGCCGGCCAAAUCUGGACUCUUAGGGAAUGGCCACAACUAGCAGAAAGGUAAAGAAGCAGGCAGAUGUGAAGACAUUUUAUACUUUAUUUCCUCAGCAGCUUCCAAUUCUACCAUAAGCUACAAAUAUGGUGAAAAGAUAAAAAGCUGAGCUUGGAAAAAAAUUAGAAGAGUUUUGAGAGAAACAACCCAUCCAAAAUUGUAGUAAAAGUGACAACAGAAAACAGAAGUGGCUACAAUGAAAAGACAGCUGAAGUACCAUGGAAAAGCACAAUGCCCUUCCUGAUGGCCUCCAAAGGUCUUAAGGGGACCGUCUUCAUCUUCCUGUUCCUCAUCUUCAUCAGGAUUAUUAAUGACCUCCAAGCCAGCUUCAAUAACUUCUACCAAUUCAUCUCGCUUGUCUUUUCUAACUGGCUUUUCCUCAGGAUGGCGAGUGAGACCCAUUUCCAACUGGAAUACUUUCAUUAAAGUAAAACUUUCAAAGGGAAUGACUCCAUACUCACUAGGUAAUUUGGCUCCUAUGCUAACUUCAGCUUUGUCAAUUUGGGAAUGAAGAAACUCUAAAAGAUCACUAGGUGUUUGUUCUUUGUUGCCUUGAUAGCCUAUGCCAUUAGGCCCUACAUUCUUUCUCUCUUGUAAUGAUCUCA